UGGAGAAUUAGCUCAGCUGGGAGAGCACUUGCUCGACAAGCAAGGGGUCGGUGGUUCGAGCCCGCCAUUCUCCAU
rnacentral:tRNA from 1 species